AAUUUCUCAAAUCUUCCGAUCUUGCCCCCCCCCACUAAGGGCUGGAGUGGUUGGUUUGGAUUGUUGGAGGCUUCUGAAUGCAGGCCCCCAUUCCUGCUCCUCUGAAAUACAUUAGCAAUGGCCGUGGUGUUGUGCACCAGUCGUUGGCGUGGUAAAAAUACUUGUAUUUUGUGCCAGUUGACAUAGACAACCUAACCCUCCCAUGCUUCUAAUCUCACCGCCCAUUUUCUGGGUGCCAUUGAUGAACAU
rnacentral:misc_RNA from 1 species